GAUAUAGCUCAGUGGUAGAGUGCCUGCCUGGUAUAUGUGAGGCCCUGGGUUUGACUCCCAGUACA
rnacentral:tRNA from 1 species